CACAUGCAAGUCGAACGGUGAACACGGAGCUUGCUCUGUGGGAUCAGUGGCGAACGGGUGAGUAACACGUGAGCAACCUGCCCCUGACUCUGGGAUAAGCGCUGGAAACGGCGUCUAAUACUGGAUAUGUGACGUGACCGCAUGGUCUGCGUCUGGAAAGAAUUUCGGUUGGGGAUGGGCUCGCGGCCUAUCAGCUUGUUGGUGAGGUAAUGGCUCACCAAGGCGUCGACGGGUAGCCGGCCUGAGAGGGUGACCGGCCACACUGGGACUGAGACACGGCCCAGACUCCUACGGGAGGCAGCAGUGGGGAAUAUUGCACAAUGGGCGCAAGCCUGAUGCAGCAACGCCGCGUGAGGGACGACGGCCUUCGGGUUGUAAACCUCUUUUAGCAGGGAAGAAGCGAAAGUGACGGUACCUGCAGAAAAAGCGCCGGCUAACUACGUGCCAGCAGCCGCGGUAAUACGUAGGGCGCAAGCGUUAUCCGGAAUUAUUGGGCGUAAAGAGCUCGUAGGCGGUUUGUCGCGUCUGCUGUGAAAUCCGGAGGCUCAACCUCCGGCCUGCAGUGGGUACGGGCAGACUAGAGUGCGGUAGGGGAGAUUGGAAUUCCUGGUGUAGCGGUGGAAUGCGCAGAUAUCAGGAGGAACACCGAUGUCGAAGACAGAUCUCUGGGCCGUAACUGACGCUGAGGAGCGAAAGGGUGGGGAGCACACAGGCUUAGAUACCCUGGUAGUCCACGCCGUAAACGUUGGGAACUAGUUGUGGGGUCCAUUCCACGGAUUCCGUGACGCAGCUAACGCAUUAAGUUCCCCGCCUGGGGAGUACGGCCGCAAGGCUAAAACUCAAAGGAAUUGACGGGGACCCGCACAAGCGGCGGAGCAUGCGGAUUAAUUCGAUGCAACGCGAAGAACCUUACCAAGGCUUGACAUAUACGAGAACGGGCCAGAAAUGGUCAACUCUUUGGACACUCGUAAACAGGUGGUGCAUGGUUGUCGUCAGCUCGUGUCGUGAGAUGUUGGGUUAAGUCCCGCAACGAGCGCAACCCUCGUUCUAUGUUGCCAGCACGUAAUGGUGGGAACUCAUGGGAUACUGCCGGGGUCAACUCGGAGGAAGGUGGGGAUGACGUCAAAUCAUCAUGCCCCUUAUGUCUUGGGCUUCACGCAUGCUACAAUGGCCGGUACAAAGGGCUGCAAUACCGCGAGGUGGAGCGAAUCCCAAAAAGCCGGUCCCAGUUCGGAUUGAGGUCUGCAACUCGACCUCAUGAAGUCGGAGUCGCUAGUAAUCGCAGAUCAGCAACGCUGCGGUGAAU
rnacentral:rRNA from 1 species